AGUCUGGCCACACAAGGGAGAUACCAUGAUCACGAAAGUAGUUUUCCCAGGGUGAGGCUUAUCCAUUGCACUCCAGAUAAACUGACCCCUGCAACUUCCCCAAACCAGGAAACCCUGCAUAAUUUGUGGUAGUGGGGGACUUCAUUCACGCUCUCCCCUG
ensembl:snRNA U1 U1 spliceosomal RNA